rnacentral:snRNA from 1 species
AUACUCUGGUUUCCCUGCAGAUGUUAUAUGUAUUUCACCGUUACUAAAGAUUUCUGUGGAGAGGAACAAUUUGAGUAUUAAUCCAACUUUUUGAGGCCCUGAGUCUGCUGGCUA